GACAGAGGCCCCGAGCGUUAGGCGGAAUCACUGGGCUUAAAGCGUGUGUAGGCGGGCCCGUAAGUGUCUUGUGAAAUCCCACGGCUCAACCGUGGAACUGCUGGGCAUACUGCGGGUCUUGGGCCAACUAGGGGCAGCCGGAACAAGCGGUGGAGCGGUGAAAUGCGUAGAUAUCAGGAGGAACACCGGUGGCGAAGGCGGCUAUCUGGACAGAAACUGACGCUGAGGCGCGAAAGCUAGGGGAGCAAACAGG
rnacentral:rRNA from 1 species